UAUCAUUUCUACAUUUCAUUCUCUCUCUCCAAACCUCUUUCUCCUACCAUCGCCGCCCAAACCCUAGAUCCCCAAAUCCCUUCCCCCACCGCCUCUUCGUCUCUUCAAACCCGUUCCUCCAUCACCGUCUCUUCAAACCCGCUUCCCCAUCGUCGUCUCUUAAAACCCGCUCCUCUCAUUGCCGUCCACAUCCUAAACCCUUCCCUCCCCAAAUCCCAUUCUAUAAUACUCGACUCUCUAGCCAAACCCUCCGCCUCUCUACCCGAUUCUCUUGUCAGAUCCUCCGCUUCCCUAGACACUUCUGUAGCCAAACCCGCCGCUUCUCUAGCUGAUUCUCUAAUACCCUGUCGCCCUUUUCUAGUUCCACUUCUCUCCUUCUUAACGGGUAUCUUACAAUAUCAGUAGACAAAAAUCUCAAAGAAAACGGGAUCUAAGUGAAUCUGAAUAUAUAGAAUCUGACAAGGAUGUACAUGGAUAUAAAAUUGGUGAUAAAAGAACAAAAAAGGACAAAGAGUCUCUAAAGACGAAAACUUCAACUUCUAAACGUGUCAAAAUGGUAAUAUCCCCCAAACGACUGAUGAAGAAGGUUAGUGAUUCAACUUUUAAUUUGGUAAUAUGCUUCAUAUUCAAAUGAAAAUCAUAUUCUAUUUGGCUGAUGAAGAUGGUUGAAUUGUAUGUUGAAUUAUAGGUUUGACAUAAUGCUAUUGUCAAGUGAUUUAGUUUCAUGUUUAAUAUUUUCUAAUUAAUAGGUUAAUAUUUUUUCAAAUUUAUUUAGUAAGAUUUCAAAUGAUUUAGUUUUAUGUUCAAUAUAUAUGACUUUUUUAAUGUUGGCUAAUUAAUAGGUUAGUGUUUUAUGAAAUUUAUUUAGUAAGUUUCAAGCAAUUAAGUUUUAUGUGGAAUAUAUGAGUUCUUUUAAUGUUGUCAAAUGGUUUAAUUUUAUUACCAAUAUAUGAGUUGUAUAAUGUUGUCAAAUGCUAUUGGAGAAUGCACAAUGAUGGGUGUGAUGAGUCUUGGGCUUCAAAAGCUGGUUGGACAAAUAGAGAUGGAUGGAUUGAAGCUAACAUAAUUAGGAGUUAUUUGGAAAUGCCAUUUUGUGUAAAAUUUGGCAUGUUUUGGUUGAUAUUUUUGGUCAUAUUAAUGGAACAAGUCCAAGUAGUUGGUGAAUUUCAUUUGCAAAUGUGUUUUACAAAUUUGUAAUGAAUUUAUGUUGGUGUACUAAGCAUUGAUACAGGAAUCAUUGAUGAAUAUAAGUUGGUUUUGGUUAUUAUUUAUAUACAGGAAUUUGAAUU